AUUACUUUGGCAGAAAAUCAAUGUGUUAAAUUUAGAAUUUAAUAAUAUAAUUAUAAAUUAUAGGUAAUA
rnacentral:tRNA from 1 species